rnacentral:rRNA from 1 species
GGCGACCGGGUGAGUAACACGUGACUAACCUACCUCCGAGUGGGGAAUAACUCCGGGAAACCGGGGCUAAUACCGCAUAACAUCGUGAGAUCAAAGCAGCAAUGCGCUUGGAGAGGGGGUCGCGGCUGAUUAGCUAGUUGGCGGGGUAACGGCCCACCAAGGCGAAGAUCGGUAUCCGGCCUGAGAGGGCGCACGGACACACUGGAACUGAAACACGGUCCAGACUCCUACGGGAGGCAGCAGUGGGGAAUUUUGCGCAAUGGGGGAAACCCUGACGCAGCAACGCCGCGUGGAGGAUGAAGCCCUUUGGGGCGUAAACUCCUUUCGACCAAGACGAUAAUGACGGUACUGGUGGAAGAAGCACCGGCUAACUCUGUGCCAGCCGCCGCGG